rnacentral:rRNA from 1 species
AUUGAACGCUGGCGGCAGGCCUAACACAUGCAAGUCGAGCGGCAGCGGAAAGUAGCUUGCUACUUUGCCGGCGAGCGGCGGACGGGUGAGUAAUGUCUGGGAAACUGCCUGAUGGAGGGGGAUAACUACUGGAAACGGUAGCUAAUACCGCAUGACCUCGAAAGAGCAAAGUGGGGGAUCUUCGGACCUCACGCCAUCGGAUGUGCCCAGAUGGGAUUAGCUAGUAGGUGAGGUAAUGGCUCACCUAGGCGACGAUCCCUAGCUGGUCUGAGAGGAUGACCAGCCACACUGGAACUGAGACACGGUCCAGACUCCUACGGGAGGCAGCAGUGGGGAAUAUUGCACAAUGGGCGCAAGCCUGAUGCAGCCAUGCCGCGUGUGUGAAGAAGGCCUUAGGGUUGUAAAGCACUUUCAGCGAGGAGGAAGGCAUCACACUUAAUACGUGUGGUGAUUGACGUUACUCGCAGAAGAAGCACCGGCUAACUCCGUGCCAGCAGCCGCGGUAAUACGGAGGGUGCAAGCGUUAAUCGGAAUUACUGGGCGUAAAGCGCACGCAGGCGGUUUGUUAAGUCAGAUGUGAAAUCCCCGCGCUUAACGUGGGAACUGCAUUUGAAACUGGCAAGCUAGAGUCUUGUAGAGGGGGGUAGAAUUCCAGGUGUAGCGGUGAAAUGCGUAGAGAUCUGGAGGAAUACCGGUGGCGAAGGCGGCCCCCUGGACAAAAACUGACUCUCUAGGUCAAAGCGGUGGGGACAAAACAGAUUAAUACCCGCUGGAACUCCAAGGAAAAUUCCACAUUCGCUGCACCCCCGGAGAUACUAUAUAUCUAAAGCGGCCCCACGGGGGGGCUACUAAUUCUCCCUAUAAAGAGUCUUAUACCCCCCCUCAUGGCCGUCUAUAACAAAGU